CGAAGCAAGGUUGGACAGGGCUUGGAGGAACCUGGUCUAAUGGAACGUGUCCCUGCCCAUGGCACGGGGUGCCAUGAGAUGGGCUCUAAAGUCCCUUCCCACACAAACCAUUCUGAAAUUAUAUGUUUGCACCACCACCAGCUCCACUUGACACCUCCAAUGUUUCCCACAGUACACAUGCCCUCUCUGUGUGAUGAUGUGCUGCCUUGGGAAAAAAAUCCAGGUGCUCUGUCCUUGGAAACAGCUCGACUUCCUUCCCAGGCAAAGCUGGGACUGCUUGAGAGCACUGCCUGUGCCAACUGCUGUGCUGCCUGCUCCGGGCUUUCAGCUGCCUGUUCUUACCCUCCCUGUAAUCCAAACGCUCCCAUUCUCUCUGUUCCCAUGGUUUAUGCUACCUGUAAUCCCCUCCACAGUAAUUCCUAGUGUACAUCUCCUGAAGCUGGAUAAUCCUAAGAGAUCGGCAUAAGAACAGCACUUGAGUCAGCUCUUACUGUUCCACCUCUCAGAAAUCCCAGCAUUUCUUUCACCAGCAGUCUGUGGAUCCCUGUGCAUCUGCAAGUGGCAUUUGUUUAUAGUCCACAUUUCUUAGCUGCCUUAUGAUGUUCCUAAUUGUCCUUCAAGUAUAUCAUGGCAUUUCCAGCUCAUCCAUAACAUUCCUCCUUGUUUUGACAUAGCCUGGAUAGCUCAAGGCUUGGGAGAUUCCGACCAGCCAGUUCCUCAGUGGCACAAGGAGAGAGACUGGGAGGACAUGUGGGUCUGUCAGCACAGGACACCAGAUAAAACCAGUAACUCCCAUUUGCUGGAUCUGCUCCACCUCUGCUUUAGUGCUUCUUUGAGUCCAGAGAUGGGAAUGGAGCUGGGGAAGGGGCUGGAGCACCAGGAGUGGCUGAGGGAGCUGGGGGGGCUCAGCCUGGAGAAAAGGCUUAGGGGGGACCUUCUCGCUUUUUCCAACUCCCUUACAGGAGGGUGGAGUGGGAGGAGUCAGGCUCUGCUCCCACAGAUGUCAAGGAACAAGGGACAGGAUGAGAGGAAACGGCCUUAAGCUGUGCCAGGGGAGGUUCAGGUUGGAUAGUAAGGAAAUUUUUUUGUGGAAAGGCUCAGAAAGCAUUGGAACAGCCUGCCCAGGGCCAUGGUGGAGUCACCAUCUCUCGUGUUCAAAAAACAUGUGGAUGUGGCACUUGAGGACAUGGUGAUGGUGUUGGGCUGAUGAUUGGAACUGAUGAUCUUAAAGAUCUUUUCCAACCUUAACAAUGCUGUGAUUCCACGAUUCAAUCACCCAGAAUUCUCAGAGUCCUGCAGUUCACUAUAAAGAUCCCACCAGAGGAGGGAGUCCAUCACUGCAACUCCCUGGAAAUCCUCAUCAGCCCUCAAAUAGUUGCGAAGUAGCAACACUUUGUGGGGUUUUGUGCUGCUUAUGAAGAGUUCACAUCAUGGGAUCAGAGCUGAGCACUUGCCUGGACAUGUUCCUCAGUCCUUAGCACUUGAGAACACACACUGUGAGUGUUCUGGGUGCCUGCUGCCCCUGUCCCCUCCCUGCUGCUUCCUCCUUUUCUCUCUCACAGCUCUCAGUUCUGAAGGUCCUGCUUUUCCCCUGGAACUUGCUUGGACAAGCCACCCUGCUCUAAGCAGCCACAGUGUUUAUCCUCUCCCCCAGCACUCGAAGUCCUCAUUCCUCACUGAAACAAUCUCUCAGGACCCAGAUACAGGAGGAAAACUUUGCACUAGAAAGCAAUAUUAUUUUUACCUUGGAUCAAUUUCCCAGCCCACAGAGCUGCCCAGGAGCAGUUCAGGGGCUGGAGGGGGACCAAGACCGGGGAUGAGGAUGAUGCCUGCAGCCACCAAAAUGCACCUUGGAGCAGGAAGUGGCCACAUCUGCCCUUAAUAAUGAUCCUGAGCCUCUGGUCUGAAGCUGCCCUGUUUGGGAACUGCCCAUACUGGGCCAGGAGUGGGUCUGGUGGGGUUCACAGCCCACUCGGGGACCUGCAGCAGCCAAACUGGUCUGUUGGUGGCUUCUUUGCUCAAGCUACAAGACAUAAAUGCUAAAGGAAUGAUGAUGUUUAAUGCUGUGAUGUUCCUUUCUUUAUAUUUAUUGUGCUAAAUGCUAAAAGCUGAAUAUCUACUUGGGCUAAGAGUCCAAGGAAUUUCUUUCUUGCCUUUAAUUUCCAAUUAGCUGAGCCUCUCGAGCCUCCCCGCUCUGCCCCUGAGGCUGUGUUAUCAUCCGCCCCUCUGUGCGGAGAAGCUUCCGAAAUGGAUGGAACUAAUAAUCGUGGAAAAACUCCGGCUGCAUUUACAGCCUCUGCCUGCAAAAGUGGAGCCUUGAUUUCAAAGCCUGCGGCGACAAAUGGAUUAUUUCGGUGGCAAAUUAGUCUCUGGGGACCGACAAUUUGGGGAGCUGAGCGCUGGAACUGGAAAGCAGCAGAUCAAUUCCGAACACUUGGAGCCAAGGUUAAUGCCCUGCAAACUAUUGAGUGCAGCGAUGAAGGAUAACGUGUCAAAUGGGAAGCUUGGGAAUAUGGAAUUAAAGGGAAAAUGGGGAAGGUUGGAACAAGGAGAGCGAGCGAGACCCACAGAUUUGUUAAUAAAACCUGGGGACUGAGUUUUUGGGUGAGCGCUGAGGAUGACAGUGGGAUUUGAAUAAAAGAACUAGAACUAACAUCUCUGGGAAGGAGGGUUUUGGACUUGGGACAGUAAUGGAAGCUGGCAGAUCUCAUACCUGUCACACUGAGCCUUUCCCGAACAUCAUGGACAGCUCCCAAAAAUUCCUGAUUUCACAUAAAGAGGAUGAGACGAGGAUCUCCUGAAGGUUGGAGACCACUCUUCCCACUUUUAUUUGAAAUAACCACAUGAAAUCAUUCCAGCAGCUGAACAAAGAUCUUUGGAAGGUGAGAAUUAAAUGGAGUUUGGGGGGGGAGGCAAGUUUGGGGGUGCUGGGAGGUGGGUUUUGUCUGCAGAGUUUCCAGCAGCCUCCUGAGCACAGCCAGAUGAGAAAUCCCUCCCCAGGGAUCCUGCUCUUGUCCUCAGCACUGGGAAACUUUACAAAAGAAACACACUUUUACUGUCUUAAGAGCUACUUUGCUUGUCCAGCUUCCAAAUAACUGUUUUGCAGUUAAAAUGGCUUGUUUUCCAUCUCUCUUUACAGUUAUAAUACUUGGAAAUGGACUUUUCCUUUUGUUUUCUGAUAGUAUUGGAUGGUUUUGUAUGUUAUCAGAGGGCAACACUGUGGUGCCUCUUGAAUUAAACUGUCAGAUUUUAAGAACAGUUGUAAGGGAAGGACUGAAAUCCCAUUUUAGGUUCUUUUUUCCUUUGGAAAAUGGCUAUUUUAAAAACCCAGACUCCAUUUGCCUGUUUUCUUUAUAUCCCCUUCCACCGUUCAAAGUUUUGUUGUUGCUCAAAGUCUAGUUGUGAUUAUAUAAAUCCCAAAUAAAGGUGGAUCAGUAGCCAAAA